rnacentral:rRNA from 1 species
UAGGGAAUUUUCCACAAUGGGGGCAACCCUGAUGGAGCAACACCGCGUGAUGGAUGAAGGCCUUCGGGUUGUAAACAUCUUUUCUCUGUGACGAAUAUGACGGUAGCAGAGGAAUAAGGAUCGGCUAACUACGUG